rnacentral:rRNA from 13 species
UUGAGAGUUUGAUCCUGGCUCAGAACGAACGCUGGCGGCAGGCCUAACACAUGCAAGUCGAGCGCACCUUCGGGUGAGCGGCGGACGGGUUAGUAACGCGUGGGAACAUACCCUUUUCUACGGAAUAGCCUCGGGAAACUGAGAGUAAUACCGUAUAAGCCCUUCGGGGGAAAGAUUUAUCGGGAAAGGAUUGGCCCGCGUUAGAUUAGAUAGUUGGAGGGGUAAUGGCCUACCAAGUCUACGAUCUAU